CCUACGGGAGGCAGCAGUGGGGAAUAUUGCACAAUGGGGGAAACCCUGAUGCAGCGACGCCGCGUGAAGGAAGAAGUAUCUCGGUAUGUAAACUUCUAUCAGCAGGGAAGAUAGUGACGGUACCUGACUAAGAAGCCCCGGCUAACUAAAGUGCCAGCAGCCGCGGUAAU
rnacentral:rRNA from 1 species